rnacentral:rRNA from 1 species
GGACUAGGAUAUAGCUGGUUUUCUGCGAAAUUUGUUUUAGCAAAUUGUUUAUUUUUAUUAUUAAUAGGUAUAGCACUGAAUAUCUCGUUUUAGAAAUAAAAUAAAGAAGGAGUAUGCAAAGUACUUAUUUCGGAAAUUUAAUCUCAGAAUGAUUAAUAAGAUAAGAUAAAUAAUCGGACUUUUUGCGAUAAGGUAUAAAGUCUAAAGGGAAACAGCCCAAAACAGUAGUUAAAGCUCCCCAAUUAAUAUUAA